rnacentral:lncRNA from 1 species
GGGAUGCAUUUCUUAGAGGCUUCUUAGAGGAAUAUACUAGGUACAAUGCAUAUGCAGAUGCUCCUACAUGCUUCAGAUAAUCACCACCCAGAUAUAGACAUCUGGAAAAAAGCGCAAUCGAAUCGAUUCACUCAAGAACAAGGGACAUAUUUUUUUUUCAGAAUUGGCGAAAUGGAUUCAUGGAAAGGAAAGGUAUUCACAGUUUCACAUAAGCCUACAUGCUCCUACAUGCUUCAGAUAUUCAUCACCCAACCAUCUGGAAAAAGCUCAAUAGAAUCGAUCCACUCAAGAACAACACAAUUUUGCAGAGUUGGCCAAAUGGAUUCAUGAAAAUCUACUCAAGAACAACACAUUUGGACAAUUAGCCAUAUGGAUUCAUGGAAAGGAAAGGUAUUCACAGUUUCGCAUAAGCCUAAUCGAUGGUGCUGAUUACUCCUUGGGAGCAAUUACAGUUACUAUUUACAAAUGUACAAAGCUGCUAAGAUUACUAAGAUGCGGUGGCAACACCUUAAUCGCCACCUGCAGGGCUGCAAAC